GAUGGCGAGUGGCGAACGGGUGAGUAAUACAUCGGAACGUGCCCUGUAGUGGGGGAUAACUAGUCGAAAGAUUAGCUAAUACCGCAUACGACCUGAGGGUGAAAGUGGGGGACCGCAAGGCCUCAUGCUAUAGGAGCGGCCGAUGUCUGAUUAGCUAGUUGGUGAGGUAAAGGCUCACCAAGGCGACGAUCAGUAGCUGGUCUGAGAGGACGAUCAGCCACACUGGGACUGAGACACGGCCCAGACUCCUACGGGAGGCAGCAGUGGGGAAUUUUGGACAAUGGGCGAAAGCCUGAUCCAGCAAUGCCGCGUGUGUGAAGAAGGCCUUCGGGUUGUAAAGCACUUUUGUCCGGAAAGAAAUGGCUCUGGUUAAUACCUGGGGUCGAUGACGGUACCGGAAGAAUAAGGACCGGCUAACUACGUGCCAGCAGCCGCGGUAAUACGUAGGGUCCAAGCGUUAAUCGGAAUUACUGGGCGUAAAGCGUGCGCAGGCGGUUGUGCAAGACCGAUGUGAAAUCCCCGAGCUUAACUUGGGAAUUGCAUUGGUGACUGCACGGCUAGAGUGUGUCAGAGGGGGGUAGAAUUCCACGUGUAGCAGUGAAAUGCGUAGAGAUGUGGAGGAAUACCGAUGGCGAAGGCAGCCCCCUGGGAUAACACUGACGCUCAUGCACGA
rnacentral:rRNA from 1 species